GACGGAGGGGGCGAGCGUUGUCCGGAUUUACUGGGCGUAAAGAGCGCGUAGGCGGCUCAUUAAGUCGGCUGUUAAAUCGCUGGGCUUAACUCAGCGGGGCCAGUCGAUACUGGUGGGCUUGAGUUCGGGAGAGGGAAGCGGAAUUGCUGGUGUAGCGGUGGAAUGCGUAGAUAUCAGCAAGAACACCGGUGGCGAAGGCGGCUUCCUGGACCGAUACUAACGCUGAGGCGCGAAAGCUAGGGUAGCGAACGGG
rnacentral:rRNA from 1 species